rnacentral:rRNA from 1 species
CCUUUGACGUUAGCGGCGGACGGGUGAGUAACACGUGGGUAACCUACCUAUAAGACUGGGAUAACUUCGGGAAACCGGAGCUAAUACCGGAUAAUAUUUCGAACCGCAUGGUUCGAUAGUGAAAGGUGGUUUUGCUAUCACUUAUAGAUGGACCCGCGCCGUAUUAGCUAGUUGGUAAGGUAACGGCUUACCAAGGCACGAUACGUAGCCGACCUGAGAGGGUGAUCGGCCACACUGGAACUGAGACACGGUCCAGACUCCUACGGGAGGCAGCAGCC